rnacentral:rRNA from 1 species
GACGAACGCUGUUUGCGUGCUUACACAUGCAAGUCGAACGGAAAGGCCCUGCUUUUGUGGGGUGCUCGAGUGGCGAACGGGUGAGUAACACGUGAGUAACCUGCCCUUGACUUUGGGAUAACUUCAGGGAACUGGGGCUAAUACCGGAUAGGAGCUCCUGCUGCAUGGUGGGGGUUGGAAAGCUUCGGCGGUUGGGGAUGGACUCGCGGCUUAUCAGCUUGUUGGUGGGGUAGUGGCUUACCAAGGCUUUGACGGGUAGCCGGCCUGAGAGGGUGACCGGCCACAUUGGGACUGAGAUACGGCCCAGACUCCUACGGGAGGCAGCAGUGGGGAAUAUUGCACAAUGGGCGGAAGCCUGAUGCAGCAACGCCGCGUGCGGGAUGACGGCCUUCGGGUUGUAAACCGCUUUCGCCUGUGACGAAGCGUGAGUGACGGUAAUGGGUAAAGAAGCACCGGCUAACUACGUGCCGGCAGCCGCGGUGAUACGUAGGGUGCGAGCGUUGUCCGGAUUUAUUGGGCGUAAAGGGCUCGUAUGUGGUUGAUCUCGUCGGAAGUGUAAUCUUGGGGCUUAACCCUGAAGCGUGCUUUCAUACGGGGUUGACUGAAGGAAGGUAGGGGAGAAUGGAAUUCUGGGGGAAGCGGGGAAAUGGCGCAGAUAUCAGGAGGAACACCCGUGGCGAAGGCGGUUCUCGGGCCCUUCCCUGACGCUGAGGAGCGAAAGCGUGGGGAGCGAACAGGCUUAGAUACCCUGGUAGUCCCCGCUGUAAACGGUGGGUACUAGGUGUGGGGUCCAUUCCACGGGUUCCGUGCCGUAGCUAACGCUUUAAGUACCCCGCCUGGGGAGUACGGCCGCAAGGCUAAAACUCAAAGGAAUUGACGGGGCCCCGCACAAGCGGCGGAGCAUGCGGAUUAAUUCGAUGCAACGCGUAGAACCUUACCUGGGUUUGACAUGGAUCGGGAGUGCUCAGAGAUGGGUGUGCCUCUUUUGGGGUCGGUUCACAGGUGGUGCAUGCCUGUCGUCAGCUCGUGUCGUGAGAUGUUGGGUUAAGUCCCGCAACGAGCGCAACCCUUGUUCACUGUUGCCAGCACGUUAUGGUGGGGACUCAGUGGAGACCGCCGGGGUCAACUCGGAGGAAGGUGGGGAUGACGUCAAGUCAUCAUGCCCCUUAUGUCCAGGGCUUCACGCAUGCUACAAUGGCUGGUACAGAGAGUGGCGAGCCUGUGAGGGUGAGCGAAUCUCGGAAAGCCGGUCUCAGUUCGGAUUGGGGUCUACAACUCGACCUCAUGAAGUCGGAGUCGAAAGUAAUCGCAGAUCAGCAACGCUGCGGUGAAUACGUUCCCGAAGCU